CCUACGGGAGGCAGCAGUGGGGAAUAUUGGACAAUGGGGGCAACCCUGAUCCAGCCAUGCCGCGUGUGUGAAGAAGGCCCUCGGGUUGUAAAGCACUUUUAGUGAGGAAGAACGCCUGGUGGUUAAUACCCAUCAGGAAAGACAUCACUCACAGAAGAAGCACCGGCUAACUCCGUGCCAGCAGCCGCGGUAAUACGGAGGGUGCGAGCGUUAAUCGGAAUUACUGGGCGUAAAGCGCGCGUAGGUGGCUUGAUAAGCCGGUUGUGAAAGCCCCGGGCUCAACCUGGGAACGGCAUCCGGAACUGUCAAGCUAGAGUGCAGGAGAGGAAGGUAGAAUUCCCGGUGUAGCGGUGAAAUGCGUAGAGAUCGGGAGGAAUACCAGUGGCGAAGGCGGCCUUCUGGACUGACACUGACACUGAGGUGCGAAAGCGUGGGUAGCAAACAGGAUUAGAUACCCUGGUAGUC
rnacentral:rRNA from 1 species